UAGAGAGAAAAUAUGGAUCUUAAAGAUGAAGAAAUUUUAAGACUUAAGGAACGUCUAAAUGAAUACAAAGUGUCAAAAAAUGUAGCUAUCAUAGGACUCCAAGAGUAGGAAAAUCUUCCUUUUUAAACUCAGUUAUAGCCAGUUUUUCCUUCAAAUCCUGGCGAGAGCGGACUAGGGUAGGAUCCUAUGAUCGAGUAGGGGAACAAGUUACGCAUCAUCUCAUCAAAAUUACAAAAGAUGAAUAUCUGGACUCCGAGGAAAAGAAGAGUUAUCCUUAACCAACUCUGAUUGAUAUGGAUGGGUUCGAUGACGAAUCCUCUGAUAGAGUAAAGGAACAGCUGAGAUACGUUAUGUUUGGCGUGGUACGUACCACAUGAACACAAGAUAAAAGAUGCUAUUAAAGUUUAUACAUUUAAUGGAAUAACGGAAGCUUAUAAAAAUACACAGGAGCCUCUGAAGGUGGACUGUCUGAUAUUCGUGUCAUCAGUAGACACUUCCUUAUAAUCUGAUAGAAGCAGUGAAGCAGGUGGCAGUAAAAGAGGAAAGAGUUAUUCAGGUUUUUUGUGUCCUAACAAAGAAAGACAAAAUUAUUAAUUUUCAAGAAGGGGACUCAAAAAAGAGAGAUUUUUGUUCUAAACUUGCCCUUACAGAGAACCAGUUUCUUCUCUGCACAAACUACUGUGAUGAUUAUGACAGAGUGAUAGGGCAGUCUCGUUGUGAACAUGUUUAUCCGGAGCUAGAUGUACCAAUCCUAAAAUUCAUGACACAGGUUUGUGAUAGUGUGGUCAAGGUUAUACAAGACGAUGCUGUACCUGUGAAACCUAAAUCUUCCGAGAAGACUGUCUACGUUGUCAUGGGAUUGAUGACCGUCGUGGGUUUUGUCCUUUUCGGCAUUUAUAUUAAGAACCGAUGAUUGAUACUUAUACAAAGUUUGUACAUAUUUCCAUUUCUGGAAUAAAGAACCUGUGUGACAGGAUUGGAGAUAUAACACAGAGACAACUCAUGACUCAACUGAUGUGUUUUGUUGUGGUUCUGUUAGCAAUGGAUUUCAUGAUGCCUCAAUCAGAAUCUUACACAGACUUAAUAGGUUUUCAUUAACACCAAACAGAGGCUUUGAUUAGUGUAGGAAUAAAAGAAAAUAUGACUCGAAAUCAUUUGAU